UCGGGAAUCUUGGGCAAUGGGCGAAAGCCUGACCCAGCAACGCCGCGUGAGGGAUGAAGGCCCUCGGGUCGUAAACCUCUGUCGGAAGGGAAGAACGACCGCAAGGUGAAUAAUCUUGGGGUCUGACGGUACCUUCAAAGGAAGCGCCGGCUAACUCCGUGCCAGCAGCCGCGGUAAUACGGAGGGCGCAAGCGUUGUUCGGAAUCAUUGGGCGUAAAGCGCGUGUAGGCGGCUUGGCAAGUCGGGUGUGAAAUCCCGGGGCUCAACCCCGGAACUGCAUUCGAUACUGCCUGGCUAGAGUCCCGGAGAGGAGGGCGGAAUUCCCGGUGUAGAGGUGAAAUUCGUAGAUAUCGGGAGGAACACCAGUGGCGAAGGCGGCCCUCUGGACGGUGACUGACGCUGAGAUGCGAAAGCGUGGGGAGCAAACAGGAUUAGAUACCCUGGUAGUCCACGCUGUAAACGUUGGGUGCUGGGUGUCGCGGGUAUUGACCCCUGCGGUGCCGACGCUAACGCAUUUAGCAUCCCGCCUGGGGAGUACGGUCGCAAGAUUA
rnacentral:rRNA from 1 species